CAGCACCUCAAGUGGUCAGGAUGAUUAUUGGGCCUAAAGCAUCCGUAGCCUGCUUUGUAAGUUUUCGGUUAAAUCCAUACGCUCAACGUACAGGCUGCCGGGAAUACUGCAGCGCUAGGGAGUGGGAGAGGUAGACGGUACUCGGUAGGAAGGGGUAAAAUCCUUUGAUCUAUUGAUGACCACCUGUGGCGAAGGCGGUCUACCAGAACACGUCCGACGGUGAGGGAUGAAAGCUGGGGGAGCAAACCGGAUUAGAUACCCGAGUAGUCC
rnacentral:rRNA from 1 species